rnacentral:lncRNA from 1 species
GAUAGUCUUUUGCAUGAAUUAUUUUCCCAUUUAUGCUAAUUAACUCCCAUUUUCUUCUCUUUCAACAUUUAAAUUCAGUAAUUAAAUCGUUAAAUGCUGCGCAAGUUCCUUACUUGCUCUAGUUUUCCAUUCUUCCUUAAUUUGGCACAUCUUAAGUGCUGUAUUUCCGGUGGUUAUUUAGUAAUAUAACUAUUAGCAUGGAGCAAUUACCUUAAUAAAGACACGACACAGUCAUGGCAACACUUGAUUUUUCUAAAAAGUAGGACACAAGCAUGUGGAUUUAAUUCGUUAAAAAUUACAAUUUAUAUAUUACAUCUUUAUUUAUGUAUGCUUCUGAUAUUUUUCGCGGGAAUUAUAUUCCUAUUUUAUGCUAAUUAACUCCUAUUUUCUUCUCUUUCAACGAUUAAAUUCAGUAGUUAAGUUGUUAUAUGCUGCACAAGUUCACUAGUUUUCCAUGCUUCCUUAAUUUAGCACAUCUUAGGUGCUAUAUUUCCUGUGGUAAUUUAGUAAUAUAACUGUUAGUAUGGAGCAAUUACCUUAACACGGACACAACACAGACAUGGCAACCCUUGAUUUUUCUAAAAGGCAAGACACAACAUGUGGAUUUAAUUCUUUAAAAUUUAAAAUUUAUAAAUUAUAUCUUUAUUCUAAUACUUUUUAAUGCAGGACACGGCACAUGCCAUAUAGAACACAUGUCCAAAGAAUGUUCUUUAAAG